rnacentral:rRNA from 1 species
GUCCACGCCCUAACGAUGUCAACUGGUUGUUGGGUCUUCACUGACUCAGUAACGAAGCUAACGCGUGAAGUUGACCGCCUGGGAGUACGGCCGCAAGGUUGAACUCAAGGAAUUGACGGGACCCGCACAAGCGGUGGAUGAUGUGGUUAAUUCGAUGCAACGCGAAACCUUACCCACCUUUGACAUGUAUGGAAUCCUGAAGAGAUUUUAGGAGUGCUCGAAAGAGAGCCCAUAACACAGGUGCUGCAUGGCUGUCGU